GAUGAAGAACGUAGCGAAAUGCGAUAAGUAAUGUGAAUUGCAGAAUUCAGUGAAUCAUCGAAUCUUUGAACGCACAUUGCGCCCCCUGGUAUUCCGGGGGGCAUGCCUGUUCGAGCGUCAUUUCACCACUCAAGCCUCGCUUGGUAUUGGGCAACGCCGUCCGCCGCGUGCCUCAAAUCGACCGGCUGGGUCUUCUGUCCCCUAAGCGUUGUGGAAACUAUUCGCUAAAGGGUGUUCGGGAGGCUACGCCGUAAAACAACCCCAUUUCUAAGGUUGACCUCGGAUCAGGUAGGGAUACCCGCUGAACUUAAGCAUAUCAAUAAGCGGAGGA
rnacentral:misc_RNA from 1 species